rnacentral:rRNA from 1 species
UGCGUAGGUGGUCAUAUUAGUCUUCUGUUAAAGACUCGGGCUCAACCCGAGGAGUGCGGAGGAAACGGUAUGACUAGAGGGUAUGAGAGGUGUGCGGAACUCAUGGUGUAGGGUGAAAUCCGUUGAUAUCAUGGGGAACACCAAAUGCGAAGGCAGCACACUGGCAUAUUCCUGACACUGAGGCACGAAAGCGUGGGUAGCGAACG